rnacentral:rRNA from 1 species
CCUACGGGAGGCAGCAGUGAGGAAUAUUGGUCAAUGGGCGCGAGCUUGAACCAGCCAAGUCGCGUGAGGGAAGACGGUCCUAUGGAUUGUAAACCUCUUUUGUCGGGGAGCAAAAGACGCCACGCGUAGCGUUCCGAGAGUACCCGAAGAAAAAGCAUCGGCAAACUCCGUGCCAGCAGCCGCGGUAAUACGGAGGAUGCGAGCGUUAUCCGGAUUUAUGGGGGUUAAAGGGGGCGCAGGCGGAAGAUCAAGGCAGCGGUAAAAUUGAGAGGCUCAACCUCUUCGUGCCGUUGAAACUGUUGUUCUUGAGUACUGGAGAGGUAGACGGAAUUCCUCGUGUAGCGGUGAAAUGCGUAGAUAUGAGGAGGAACACCAGUGGCGAAGGCGGUCUGCUGGACAGCAACUGACGCUGAGGCGCGAAAGCGUGGGGAGCAAACAGGAUUAGAUACCCCAGUAGUC